rnacentral:tRNA from 2 species
CCCCUGAUGGUGUAGUUGGUUCAUCACGUUCGACUGUAAUAUCAUGUUGUAAUCGAAAGGUCACCGGCUCGAUUCCGGUUCGGGGGA